ACGCUCGACACCUACGGGAGGUAGCAGUGGGGAAUAUUGCACAAUGGGGGAAACCCUGAUGCAGCGACGCCGCGUGAAGGAAGAAGUAUCUCGGUAUGUAAACUUCUAUCAGCAGGGAAGAAAGUGACGGUACCUGACUAAGAAGCCCCGGCUAACUACGUGCCAGCAGCCACGGUAAUCUGAGCGGGCUGGCAAGGC
rnacentral:rRNA from 1 species